GUAUGAUAUCAGAAGAAACAUCAAGAUCAAGAAAUGUAACUCAUAUGAUGAUAUAAUACAUUUUAAAAUUGUGCUUCACAUUGUACUAACUGAGCAAUAAGAUGUGUCAUCUCUGGCUACCAUCUGUGUUUGGAUUAUGAAAAAGAGUUGCACAGUUGCAACGCAGGAAAACGGCUGAAAUUAUUUUUUUAUUGUGCAACAGACAGAAUAAUUUUUCAUCCUGAUAUUCAGAAGAAUUUUAUUUGUAUAAAUCUGUAAAAGAAAACAGAACAGAAAAAACUACUUCAGUUUUAUACUAAAUAGAUUUAUGAACAUGAUUUAAAGAUGAAGCUGAGAUCUCUCCAUUCCUACACCACCAUGUUCUUGUUUGGUUGCUUCGGCUGUGUUACUAGAUCAGGUUUUACACCCUUCAUUCACCACACAACCACUCAUCCAUCUGCUGACACACUGAUCACACUGAUUCAUUCAUUCAUGCAUUGAUUGGUUAUUGUAUGUUUAAUAAUAAACUUGUACACCUCUCUUGUCAUGGCUCAUGAGCCGGGUCAUGACACUCAUAAACACAUCACAUUAAAAAGCACACACACACACACACACACACACACACUCAGACACACAUGCACGAUCAGAUGAACUCACCUGAUUUCCUGUAAAUGGAGAGGGGAGGAGCCCCACCAACCAGUUGAUCCAGGUACAUGAACAGGAAGAGAAGCCUCUCUCUUAAAGUGUUUGACUCCAUUUAGAGUCAACGGAGCAGAAGACUGAAGACUGAAGACUGAAGACUGAAGCAGGACUGACUUCAGAUCAGAAGAUGGAGGAAGAGGAGGACAGAGCAGAGUCUCUAGUCUCCGGCUGUCUGUCUAUGAAGAGUGAUCAGUCUAAAGGUCUUCCUCUGAUCUUCAGUAAUGAACCUGGACCCUCAGAGUCAAAAGAGAAGAAGAGGAGUCAUGCUUCUGUGGAGGAGCCGAUGUCCAGAUCCAGAACAAUAUGGGGAACUAUUACAUCACCGUUCUAUCCCAGACAGACAGACACACUGAUGAAAGGGGAG